CCCUGAGUGUCCCUGUGUCUGAGAGUCACCUCUACCUGCCAAAUCUGAUCACCUUCUCUGGCUCCCAGCCCCUUGCUCUUGGCUCUUCUUUGUGUGAAUGGCGGCUGCCAAUCUCAAUACCUGCUCAACAUAUUUUUUUUUUUCCAGAUAGUGGAUAAAGCACUGCUUUCAAGCAUAUAUUCCUGUUACCUAGCCUGCACACCGUUGAUGUCUUCUCCAGUCCUUCCAUCCAGAGCACAGCAAAUGUCAAAGUCAGCCAAGCUGGCAAAUGAGUUGUGAUGACUGGAUUCUUCACCACUGGUAGCAUCAAGAAAGUCUGUCUCCAGUCUUUCCUGACCUGUCAUCCUCCUCUUCUGGAAACUCAAAGCUCCUUGGACUCCUGCUCCCCACAAGGGGAUAAGUGUCCCAUCAGUAUUAGGGGAAACUUUCUCUUUGCACACUGAAGUGACUUUGUGACAAAACUUUAUGCUGGGGCAAAUGGACCUCCAGAGAAGCGGAUGGUUGAGU
rnacentral:lncRNA from 1 species